GCCUAGGGGCAGACAUUUCGCAAUAAGUUAGGAAAAAGAGGGAUUGGCUGCUGCCGAGGUGGGGGCGUGGCCAGAGGCUGAGGGGCGGGCCCCUGCCUUGUACCACCCCUCACGGCCCUACCUGGGCCUGGGGGAGCAGGAGAUGAAGUGAAGUUCGUGGGCUCGUCUGUGAAAAGUGUUUUGUAAAUUCCCUUUGAGGAUCAGAACUGAGAGACUGGAGAGAGAGUGGUUUCCUGUCAACAGAGAUGCCCUAUGGAAGAUCCUGAUGAGAUUUGGAUGCCCACCAGAAGUGUUUGGACUCAAUGUCAAUCCUCCAUAUCAACUAGAAGGACAGCAGAACAAAAGCCAGCGUUCUGGCUCAAAUAAAUACCACCAGCAUCGAAGCCAUGUUCAUACAGCACCAGCUCAGUUGGACAGGACACGGACAACCAGCUCCUGAAAUGGGUCCCGCACUCCAGCUCACUUUGGUUACCACUGUAGAGUGAUUUAUUAAGUCUUUGCUGGUCCCUUCUUCUGAGAUAUGGCAUCAUUCCACAGUGAAACCCAGUUGAUAAUACAACGUAGCAGCAUUUGGAAAAUGAAAAUGAACUCACACAGAUGGGGAAAGUCAAGCCAUGGAGAAUCUACAUGGCCAAAGUCAUGCACAGCCGAAGUCAUGUACAGAGUCAUAGAAUCGAAGGACCAAAAGGGAACUGCAAGAUCAUCAAGUCCAGUCCCCUGCCAUGGGCAGGAAGUUAUUGGGCUCAUAUAAGCUCAACAAGGUGCAAGAUCAUCAAGUUUAGAAUAAAACUCAAGUAUCCCAAUUCCCUCAUCAAGAAUGUAUUCACUUAGCCAUUCUGCUACUGAUAAAUCAAAAAGUAUUUUGUAUCAGA